rnacentral:rRNA from 1 species
GACAGAGGGUGCAAACGUUGUUCGGAAUUACUGGGCGUAAAGCGCGUGUAGGCGGCUAAGUAAGUCGGGCGUGAAAUCCCACGGCUCAACCGUGGAAGUGCACUCGAAACUGCAUAGCUAGAGUCCUGGAGAGGAAGGUGGAAUGCUUGGUGUAGAGGUGAAAUUCGUAGAUAUCAAGCGGAACACCGGUGGCGAAGGCGGCCUUCUGGACAGUGACUGACGCUGAGACGCGAAAGCGUGGGGAGCAAACAGGGAU